AUUGAACGCUGGCGGCAGGCCUAACACAUGCAAGUCGAGCGGAUGAAGGGAGCUUGCUCCUGGAUUCAGCGGCGGACGGGUGAGUAAUGCCUAGGAAUCUGCCUGGUAGUGGGGGAUAACGUCCGGAAACGGGCGCUAAUACCGCAUACGUCCUGAGGGAGAAAGUGGGGGAUCUUCGGACCUCACGCUAUCAGAUGAGCCUAGGUCGGAUUAGCUAGUUGGUGGGGUAAAGGCCUACCAAGGCGACGAUCCGUAACUGGUCUGAGAGGAUGAUCAGUCACACUGGAACUGAGACACGGUCCAGACUCCUACGGGAGGCAGCAGUGGGAAUAUUGGACAGUGGGCGAAAGCCUGAUCCAGCCAUGCCGCGUGUGUGAAGAAGGUCUUCGGAUUGUAAAGCACUUUAAGUUGGGAGGAAGGGCAGUAAGUUAAUACCUUGCUGUUUUGACGUUACCAACAGAAUAAGCACCGGCUAACUUCGU
rnacentral:rRNA from 1 species